UCCUUCGCGAAGACGGCGAAAGUGAAUUCGCAUCUGUCUCGGAUGGCGGGUCGCGCAGCCGUGAGCCGCGUCCGUGCGGCGUGCCUCCGCCACAAUCAUGUGAGCAGUGAGCGGGUUAACCGCGCAACUUUACAUUCACUAUCCGCCACCGUGCACCGACGCGACGACGGCGCGGCGCGGUGCGUGCGGAUUCGCGGCCCGCCAACGUGCGAUAAUGAAAUGCCAGGCGACGCCGGCCUCUUCCGCGUCAAGAGCGAGCCACUGUCCGAGGAAGACGACAGCAACUCCUUCGUCCACAGCUAUCUGGUCAAUCAGCUUCCUUCGGAGGAUUUACGUGCGAAGUUGGGCACUGAAUACUUGCGGAGUGAUAAUGUACCGACGCAUCUACUGCACCAUAUACACGGCUCCGGGCUGGAGGAGCUGGCACCGCUGGCGCCGGCGGGGCCCGCCGCGACCCCGGUGUGUGUGAAGCAAGAGCCUAGGGAGCCCACGCCGGCGCUUACGCUAGAGACUCUCGAACCUGCACCGCAUAGCGCAGAGGGAGCAGCCUUGAUAGACAGGCAUUUGGCGUUACUCAACGCUAGCGACGACCCUGAGGCCACAGAGUUCAUGCCGUUGGUAGCCGUGAAAGACGAACCGCUUUCUGAAGGAGAACAACCGCAGCUGAGCGGCGAGGAUACGAGUGACUCGAGCGGCACACAGCCCGAGUCGGCGCCGCGCUGCAGCCCCAAGACUUGGACGCAGAAGGACAUGGACAACGCGCUGGAGGCGCUUCGAAACACAACAUGAGCCUCACUAAGGCCUCAGCAACAUACGGCAUACCAUCAACGACUCUAUGGCAGCGAGCCCACCGGCUGGGGAUCGACACGCCGAAGAAGGAAGGUGCGGCGAAGUCGUGGAGCGACGCCGAUCUGCGCGGUGCGCUGCAGGCGCUGCGGGCCGGCGCCAUCUCCGCCAACAAGGCCAGCAAAGCUUACGGCAUCCCCUCGAGCACGCUGUACAAGAUAGCGCGGCGGGAGGGCAUCCGGCUAGCAGCGCCGUUCAACGCCGCGCCCACCGCCUGGCGCCGCGCCGACCUGCGCCAGGCGCUCGCCUGCAUCCGCGCCGGCGCCGCCACCGUGCAGCGCGCCGCCUCCGCAUACGGCAUACCCACCGGCACGCUAUACGGUCGCUGCAAGCGGGAGGGCAUCGAGUUGUCCCGCUCCAACCCCACGCCGUGGUCUGAGAACGCGAUGGUGGAAGCUCUGGAGGCAGUCAGAGUGGGCCAGAUGUCGAUCAACCAAGCAGCGAUACACUACAACUUGCCCUACUCCUCACUCUACGGCAGGUUCAAGAGAUGCAAGUAUCAAAAUCAGUUACAGGUAGCACAGCAACCUCAACCACAAGACACGCAAAAGCCUCAAGAAGUUGACCAAAACCAACAGUUCUACUACCAACAGCUGCCGUCUACCGUCCAUCAUCCGUCUGACGACGGCAUCCCCGCGUACAGCCAAUACCCUCACACGUCGCAAGACUACUCGGAACAUUACUACAACUUCAGUAGUAUAGUCACGAGCUGAUGUUACGACAACGCCUCGGAAGACGGGGCAUCUUGAUUCAAAUGUCGAAUAGUAACUUUUUAAAUUCCAGGACAUGCCUAAGGAACUUGCCCUGCGGUCUAAAGUUCUUGUAAUUGUAAGAAAUGAAUAAGAGAUGGCGCUGCAAUUUAGUAUUUGUAGUUAUAUUAUUUUUUUUAAUUCGGUUUUUAUGUAUAGAGCGAAUUCUAACGAUGCAGCCGGUUGCACAAUUGUACUAUUUGCUAAAAUAAAUGAUUAUAAUUAAUAGGAAGUAAAAUUGUGAAUGUUGCCAGAGGUGAUUUUAAGCCUGAUUUGAUUUUAAACGGUAAGCCUGGUUGUUGAAUUAAAUUCCAUUUUUCUUGUGAAGACAACAUACAUUUUGCAAAAUAUGAAGAUGAGUAUUUAUCGCUCCGUAUAUUGUGCAAUAAGUACUCUAGACAGUGCAAUACAUUGAGCUAAUUUUAAUAUUCACUUUGUGAAUAUUUUUUUAUCCAUCUUUUUAAAAUUUUAAUGUAAAAUAUGAUAUUUGGUUCAUAACGUAAAUGUAAAAUUGAUAAGACUUUUUAGAGGCAUUUAUCAAGUAGUGUUUUUGAUUUGAAUAUGAAUAUUAGAAACAUGAAAUACGUAACAUAAAGGACUAUACUACUAAAGGACAAGUGUAGAUAUUACCCACAGUAUUAUGUAAGAUCUAAAUUUAUGUUAGUACAUGAGGAAAGAAUUUUAAAGCUCUCGAAAAUAUUAUAUAUGCGAAAGCGAUUUGAAUUCUGCGACAUCGUAUUGUGAUCUAUUUAAUAAUGUAGUUGUAAUGUACUUAUAUUGCGUGGAAUGAAAAAUGUAACCACCAUAUUCGGGACAUUAUAAAAUUCGAACCAUUGCAUAAUAUUUUAAUCAGUAUUAAGUACUUAUAGUCUGUUCAAUAAAUUUGAUAAGUUCGAUGUAAGGUAGUUCUGCUAGAUUGUUUCGACAAUACUGCCAUAUUAUUGUAAGCUUUAGGUCCUGUUUCACAACUUCUAAGUAAAAGCUUGUAUACACAAUUCGUCACAUGAAUGUAAAAGCCAACCAAAUACAAUAGUCGUACUCAAAUCUACACUUCCAAAUAAAAGGUACUAAAAUGAGUACUAUUUACAUUAGCUGUUUUAUACGGAAAAUUACUUGAAACUUGUGAAACAAGCCCUAAAUAUAAUAAAUUUAAAAUAUUGUAUUGUAAGACUCCAUGGCGAUACGCCUGUCGAAUAUGUAGUGAAAACAUGUGUAAAGUUGUGUGAUUUCCAAAAAAAUAUUUUGGAUUUGGAUUUAGGGAGAUCGUGAAUUCUUUUGAUUUAUUCCUACGGCUCUUACUUAUAAUGUGAAAUAAUUGGUAUCAGUGGGCUGCGUUAUAGUAUCUUGUAAUAAUAUGAUUUUGGGGUAAAAAAUGGCAUUUAUUGAAUUCGUUUUUGUCUUCACUUAUAACGAAAUCGUUUUUAGUUUAGAACAUACAGAUAUUCGAAAAAUGAGGCAAAAAAAAAUUUAAUUUAAAAGUCCUUUUCAUAAUUCUUUUUUCGUUUAAUUUUGUCCAAAAAAAUGCGCUCCGGCAAAACUUGAGAGUGGUGAAUUUAUAAUCAGACAGCAUAAUUUUACUAAUUGCAACCACUUGUGACCUCCAUAUCGUGUUACAAGAUUGUAAAUUUUGGCCGGUCAGUUAUGUGAUAUGAGUAUCAAGUGUAUUAAUUAACUCCAAAGGUUAACAAGAAUCAUACAACAUUAAAUAUCCCAAAACUCGUAAGUUGAAGAUGGGUACAGCAAUUGAAUUAAGUACGUAAGUUGAUUUUGACACUUUUAGGGCCGGUCCUGAACUUACUCACAUUUCAUUCUAGAGUUUGCUAUCUCACCCGAUAGCAAAAGUUAUGCUAACAGUUACUGCUUUAUAAAUACCCCGUAACUUUAGUAAAUGCACCAGCUGAAGCGUUUUAUUUUUGCAU
rnacentral:sRNA from 1 species